UACAGGGGGGGCAAGCGUUGUUCGGAAUUACUGGGCGUAAAGGGUCUGUAGGUGGCCAACUAAGUCAGACGUGAAAUCCCUCAGCUUAACUGGGGAACUGCGUCUGAUACUGGAUGGCUCGAGUGUGGGAGAGGAAUGCGGAAUUCCUGGUGUAGCGGUGGAAUGCGCAGAUAUCAGGAGGAACACCGGUGGCGAAAGCGGCGCACUGGACCAUAACUGACGCUGAUGCGCGAAAGCUAGGGGAGCAAACAGG
rnacentral:rRNA from 1 species